rnacentral:rRNA from 1 species
UGGGCAACCUGCCUCUAGCUCUGGGAUAACUCCGGGAAACCGGGGCUAAUACCGGAUACGACCUCGAGCGGCAUCUAUCGAGGUGGAAAGUUUUUCGGCUAGAGAUGGGCCCGCGGCCUAUCAGCUUGUUGGUGAGGUAACGGCCCACCAAGGCGACGACGGGUAGCCGGCCUGAGAGGGCGACCGGCCACACUGGGACUGAGACACGGCCCAGACUCCUACGGGAGCA